AUUGAACGCUGGCGGCAGGCCUAACACAUGCAAGUCGAGCGGAAACGAUCCUAGCUUGCUAGGAGGCGUCGAGCGGCGGACGGGUGAGUAACGCGUGGGAAUCUGCCGAGUAGUGGGGGACAACUUAGGGAAACUUAAGCUAAUACCGCAUACGUCCUACGGGAGAAAGGGGGCUUCGGCUCUCGCUAUUCGAUGAGCCCGCGUCAGAUUAGCUAGUUGGUGGGAAAGGCCUACCAAGGCGACGAUCUGUAGCUGGUCUGAGAGGAUGAUCAGCCACACUGGGACUGAGACACGGCCCAGACUCCUACGGGAGGCAGCAGUGGGGAAUAUUGGACAAUGGGGGCAACCCUGAUCCAGCCAUGCCGCGUGUGUGAAGAAGGCCUUCGGGUUGUAAAGCACUUUCAGUUUGUGAGGAAGGCUAAGUGUUAAUACCUGCUUAGAUUGACGUUAACAACAGAAGAAGCACCGGCUAACUUCGU
rnacentral:rRNA from 1 species